rnacentral:rRNA from 1 species
AACGCGAAGAACCUUACCUGGGCUCGAACGACUGGUAGUAGUCCGGAUGAAAGUCUGGGCGACCCGCAAGGGAGCCAGCCGAGGUGCUGCAUGGUUGUCGUCAGCUCGUGUCGUGAGAUGUUGGGUUAAGUCCCGCAACGAGCGCAACCCCUAUCCUGUGUUGCUACCCGCAAGGGAGGACUCUCAGGAGACUGCCGCGGAUAACGUGGAGGAAGGUGGGGUCGACGUCAAAUCAUCAUGGCCUUUAUGUCCAGGGCCACACACGUGCUACAAUGGCACAUACAAAGGGAUGCAAUACCGCAAGGUGGAGCCAAUCCUUAAAGUGUGCCUCAGUUCAGAUUGUGGGCUGAAAUUCGCCCACAUGAAGGCGGAAUCGCUAGUAAUCGUAGAUCAGCAGGCUACGGUGAAUACGUUCCCGGGCCUUGUACACACCGGUACUA